rnacentral:rRNA from 1 species
UCUUGAAAUUUAGUUUAAUUUUAUAAUUAAAUUAAAUUUUUAAUUGGGGUGAUUUUAAAAUUUAAUGAACUUUUAAGUAUUUAAUUCAUAUAUAAUUGAUUUUUUUUGAUUUUAAAUAUAAAAUUUUAAAUUAAGU